ensembl:lncRNA
CUUUGCUUGUAGAAAUUCCUGCCCUGCGUGCGGUGAGGUGGGAAAAUGGGGGGAAGUUUGGAUGGAAAAGGGGUGGGAGGGAAAAAAAAAAAUAGGCAUAAAGAAAUAGAAAAUGGCUGUUUUGGGUUUAGCUCCUGGCUGUCUGCGCUGCUGAGCCUGGUCUGAACCCAGCUGGCAGCUAUGGGGCUAAGGAGCUAUGGGGCUGAGGAGGGAGCAGAGGGUCACUGCAGGGAUUUGGGGAUGAAGAGGUUCAGGGUGAGGUUUUUUUUCCCAUCUCCAUGCUCUGGAUCUGUGGGGCUGCCAUGGGAUUUGCACCAGAAUGGGACAGUGCAGCAGUGGGGCUCUAUGCUGGAGCACCCGGAGGGGCUGGUGUUGGGCUCAGGCACCUCAGGGUCCUGGUGAUGGGUGCUCAGGUACCCAAGGGUCCCAGUGAUGGAGACUUGGGCAUCUCAAGGUCCUGGUAAUUGAGGCUUAGGAAACUCAGUGUCCUGGUGAUAGAGGCUCAGAUGCCUCAAGGCCAUGGUGAUGGAGGCUCAGGUACCCAAGGGUGCCAAAGGUGGAGGCUCAGGAACCUCAGGGUCCUGGUGAUAGAGGUUCAGCACAGCAGGACCUGGUGGGAGAUGAGACACAGGAGCUGCUGUGAACACGGAACCUAUGGAGGCUAUUUCAGUCCCCAUUAAGGCCAUUAAACACAGAACCCACUUGGAGCAAUUCACGCGCCUGUCUGAACACCAUGAAAUCCUCAUUCCUAUCCCAGUGGUUGCCAGGAUCCUCGUGGUUUGCAGCUCCACUCCUGGUUUAUGGGAGCUAUUAAUAUCUCCCCAGCAUUUAAGGGCGCAGGUAGAGAUCUCUACCUUUGUGCUUGGCAGUCUGCACUCUUCCUUGAAGAAUUAAGGGAAUGAAGGCAAAGCCCAUCUCGGAGCCCCUUGAGCGCAGGUCUGGGAACUGAACAUCCCAACCACAGCGAACAGAGGAUCAGAAUAGAAGAUUGCUUUUACACAGGGGAUUUUGCAGCAUGAGCUUGGCUUCUGAUGUCCAUCCAAAGCACGCAGGCAGAGAAGGAAUGCUCUGUUUUCAGUCUGCAAUGGAGUCACUGUUUUAAUUUUAGCUCCUCCAGAGCAAAGAUGUAACCAAGCUGUUACCAAAGCAAAGCACCUUAUGGGGGCUGGAAGAGGCAGAAGGACUGAACCUCCCCAUCCAGCAGUGUGUGGUGUUGCAAUGGUGUUAGCCUGGGACCAAGAAAUGUGGAGCAGACAGCAAAGGUGGCAUGAUCCAAAGCGUCUGCAAAGGGGACGGUGGGGACAAGAAGACAUCAUAUGGCCUUGUGUGGCCGUAGCCAGAAGAUGGAAUGGGGCUAUUCAGUCCCUGCCCAAACCACCCCUAUUUCAGCAGGUAAAAGUGGAGGGCAGAAAUAAAUCUGUUGGCAAAGAGCUGGGAAUGGCAG